CGCAGCCAUCGGUUUCAACUCCAUCGGCGGCUCCGCAAACUUCCAGCUUGGCUAGGUUCGGCUUGGUGGCGACAUUCGAAUAGUAUACCGAUUCCUAGGUUUUCGACCCUUCUCGAGCCAUUCCCACCCUUGUUUCAACCAUCUGAGGAGGUAGCUAGGCACUGGAGUUAGCGUUGUGGGUGACUUCGGCCAAGGCCAAUGAGGUAAGGGCAAGGCUCCCAUGUACGGCUGACGGUGGAUGAUGUGAAGGGCCAUGGAAAUCUUGAGGAGAUUUUGUAGUGUCGUAGGCGCCUUGUUGUAUUCUUUUGGGUUCAUAGUUUUGCGAUUGUUUCCUCUAGUUCUUUGUUGAUUAUUUCUAGGCUAGGUUGUCACUAUUGUUUUCCCUAGGUAUGAACUGCUUAUAUUAAUGAAUGCAUGGUCGUUAUUGAGACUCUCUCACGUGAACUCUU